UGUCUAGGGACCAAAAUGCCCCUUCCUUCUCUUCUUCUUCCCUCACCUCCUCCCCCUCUUUCCCUCUCAGCUCCCUCCAUCUCUCUCUCCCCUCUCUCUCUCUCUCUCUCUCUCUCUGAUCUGCAGAGCCGGAGCCCGGAGGCGCGGCUGCGGCUGCCAAGCCUCCUCCUCCUCCUCCAGCGCGCGGCCAGCGAGCAGCCUCGGAGGCCACCGCCGCCGCCUCCUCGCCCGGACGGCGGGGGAGCGGGCGGUGCUCCGUCCAGCGGAGCGAGCCCCCCCAAUCUUGGCCGGAAUCGGAUUGAAGGAUCUUGCGUUAGUUACUGUGCUGUUCGCUGGAUGCUGGCAAUGGGGUCAGAGGAGUGGGAGUUGUAUCCAUCUUCCUUCAUUGGUGCUCAGGUCAUAGAUUAUGGGCAUGUUUCUGGAGACAUGGAUGAUGAUCAGAGUGGAGACUUGGCCGUGUCGAUGGACGCCGUUCUCCCUGAUGAUCUUUUAGAAAAGGUCCUCUCCUUCUUGCCUGUUGCAAGUGUCAUAAGAUCUGGAUCUGUUUGCAAGAGAUGGCAUGAGAUUGUGCAUGCCCGGAGGCAGACAUGGAGCAAAAUGGUGCCUCAGAAGCCUUGGUACUUCAUGUUUACCUGCAGCGAGGAAGCGGUCUCGGGGUUCACCUAUGACCCGAGCCUGCGUAAGUGGUAUGGAUUCGACUUCCCUUGCAUUGAGAAGACCACCUGGUCGAUUUCCUCAUCGUCCGGGUUGGUGUGUCUGAUGGACAGUGAGGAUAGGAGCCGCAUCAUCGUGUGCAACCCAAUAACUAAGGACUGGAAGAGGCUUGUUGAUGCUCCUGGUGGCAAGUCGGCUGAUUACAGUGCUCUCGCCAUUUCUGUGACCAGGACCUCUCAUCAGUACAUGGUGGCUGUUGCAAGGUGCAACCAGGUGCCAUCAGAGUAUUAUCAAUGGGAGUUCACCAUCCAUUUGUACGAGUCAGAGAUAAAUACAUGGGUGUCUCCCUUCACUGAACUAUUGAUUGGAUGGCGAGGAGGUGAUGAGUGCGUGAUCUGUGAUGGGGUCCUCUACUAUCUGGUGUACUCAACAGGAGUUUUGGUGAAUAACAACGAGCAUCGCCAUUGUCUUCUCAUGUAUGACCUAUCUACCAGGCCUACUCACACUUCUUUGAUGAGCAUGGCUAUACCAGUGCCGUGCCCUCUUACAUGUGGCCGUUUGAUGAACCUCAAUGAGAGGCUUGUCUUGGUUGGGGGCAUUGGCAAGCAAGAUAGGCCUGGUAUCAUCAAGGGAAUUGGCAUCUGGGAGCUCCGGAACAAGGAGUGGCAUGAGGUUGCUCGAAUGCCUCACAAGUUUUUCCAAGGAUUUGGCGAGUUCGAUGAUGUUUUUGCAAGCUGUGGGGCGGAUGACCUUAUCUAUAUUCAGAGCUAUGGGUCACCGGCCCUCCUCACAUUUGAAUUAAACCAGAAGCUGUGGAAAUGGUCACUGAAGAGCCCUGUGACGAAGAGGUUUCCUCUGCAGCUGUUUACUGGUUUCUCUUUUGAGCCUAGGCUGGACAUUGCUUCCUAGUUUUAUUUUGUUUCACUUCCACGGGAAUUCUUGCAUUAUUUGCCUGGUUUGGAGUUACCAAGUGAAGAGAUGAUGUCAUUGGAAGCCAUUCGAGAAAGUGUUUCAGUGCCAGAAUCCUUGCCUGCUUCUGAUGCAGCAUCUGUGUCAUACUACAUAGCAAUGGCAUGUGAUUGUGCAAAGACAGGUAAAGGAGCAUGCAUGCUGCAUCAGGGACUCCCGGACUCAGAGUCUCUCUUUGGUUUUGGAUGGAUACGUUAACACUAUUUUCCUCAUGCCUGAACUCUCUGUACUUGCUUGAUAGUACCACCAAUCCUAAAAAGCAGCAUCUCCCUUUUUAUAUUUUCUUGCCUGCUGUCACUGCUCCCAAAUGUUGCUUAAAGCCUGUAAAGCCACACCCUCUGCUCUGCAAGUGAAGGACACAUAUUGUUUCAGAUGUCCAGCUGUCAAUGAUGUAUGUUGUGUAUGCCUUCAGAGAAUCAGAAAGAGACCCUUUCAGCCAGCCAGCAGGUGAGCUCAGUGAUGUGGUACCAGCAGGGUUGCAUUGUUGCAAGCAUGGGGCAAUUUCUUCUGAUGAGCAUAUAUAUUGAUGUUGAAGGGUGGUGUAUGAUAUCUUGGGGACAGUUUCUACCAGUCUGUUAUACUACUAGAAAAGGUAGUAAAUGUGGGUGUGUAUGUAAUUGUCACUUUGCAAAGGUGUCCUCCAAAUGCAUUUGCUGUGCAAGUAUUGUCCAAUGCUGUACCUGAACUUGUUGAGCUUUGUGCUAUAGUGAUUUUUAUUAGCAGAAAGCAUGGUGUUCUGUCAAAGGAUAUCCCACAACUUGAACAUGAUCAGUGCUUAGCUAAUGUACUUGGAGAAUGCCAGUGUUUUUGUCUCUUUGCAACAUAGUAUAAAAAGAGGUAAACAUGAAAUCUAUGGCAGGGAGCUGUUUCUCCAAGCCAGAACA